AAGCAUUGUGAAGAACCAAUGAA
rnacentral:siRNA from 1 species